AGUGGAGGGUAACUGGUCACUGUGUUUAUAGCUGCAGUAGCUGAAAGUUUUUAAAGUGCGCAAAUUCUGCGGAAGAUGGAAAACCGAUGGAUAAUCCUCAGAGACUGAUACAAAAACUUCCUUGUCACCAUCAAAAACUCUGGUGGCCUCGAAAUCCGUUGAACCGACUCGUCUCGGGGUGUUCACACUGGAGCAGCGGAAGUUUGCAGUAACAGACGAGUAUCAAUAAAGUGACGCAACCAAGUAGUUUGGAUGAGUUGUCGGAAACUCUUAAGAAAUCGCCGAUGAAUCUGAUCCACAUGAAAUGUGAAAUUACUACAAGCCCGUUACUUUCUGCUACAACAAUGAAGACCCGUUUUUAUCAGCCCCUUGGUGAAUUUUAGUUUGAUAAAACAGGUACAUUGACACAAUCCGGACAUACAUUUUUCUUUCUUUUUAAUGAAACAAAAGCCUAUUUCGGAUCUCUAAGAUAAGAAAAAUGAGUUUAAGAAAGGAUUUACUCGAAAUCAACUUGGUUCGUCUGCUAGAGCCCAUAUAACUACCAACUGUCACUUUUCAUAUCAGGCUGACAAAAACGGGUCAAAAAGCUGUUAAAAUCGGGGAUAGACAAAUUCGGGUCUUCACUGUAUUCGAAAAGAUUGUCGUAAAACUUAUACCGCUUUUGACGCCGAAGAGCUUGGGGUACCUUAACAAAGACGCCGAAUUCAAUACGAGCGCACGAGAACAAACAAUGUGCAACAGUCGGUGACUAAUCCUCAAAGACCGAUUUAACUUCCACAUCACCAUCGAAAACCCCAGUGACCCAGAUAUUCGUGCAACCGACUCGCAUGAACAAAAACUACAAGGGACAGCCCUAUGGGGUUGCACGAACUGUAGACGUAGGAUAGGGCAUUGCAAAAAAAUUUUUUUUUGAAUUCUCAAAGACCCCUCUUAUAUUGUGACAAAUAUCAAAGUAAGCUCAAAUGCCAAAUUUCACAUCAUUUGGACAAUUUUAGACCCCCGCCCACUUCGCUUGAAGUUUUUUGAAAUUGGUAGUAUGAGAAAAUAUGGAGGAAAAAUACAUUAAAUGAUAUAACUUUUGAAGUAGCAAUCAGAAAAUUACAAUUUACAAUACCUCUUUUGAAAGGAAAUAAACUUAGUAUUUUAAGUUUCUAGGAAAAUACUGGGUCAUUUUGGCCCCAAAAUCCCAUAAUCUUAAUGAUUUUUCUGCUCCGUGAUGCAAAUCAUACAUAUUUUGUAGUUUUUCUAAUGUGAAAAAAUCUCAAAAAUCGAUCGGAGCCUUUUUGACCUUUGUCCAAAUACGAUAAGUUGGGGUUAAAUGGCCUUUUGUCAUUCAUAUUAAACUUCAUAAUUUUCUCGUGCAUAUAUCUCUAUUAUUCUUCACUCAAUUUUCAUAAACUAUACCUUGUUGAACGUAGAAAAUCCUUAAGAUUAUAACAAAAAUAGAUUCGUUACCGGUAAAAUUCAGGAACAUCAAAUUAUCUGACAUAUAGUGUCGAUUUCACAUUCUCAUAAAUAUUAACUCAAUUUAACAACAAAAUUCUUAUUUGAUUUACUACUUUUAGUGUAAAAUAUGCUUAGGGAUCACAUGAGAAAACUUUCAUUCCUGGAAAAAUAGGGGAAGUUGAGGUAUUAGGACAAAUAAUGAAAAAAUAAGAUUUGUAGAGUAAAUAUAAAAAAGUUUGAUGUUUCUGAAUUUUAGCUCUAACGUUUUUAUUUUUGUUUUAUUCCUCAGAAUUUUACACGUUCAACAAGUUACAUUUUAUGAAAAUUGAUUGAAGAAUAAUAGAGAUAUAUGUAUGAGAAAAUGAUAAAAUUUAAUAUGAAUGACGAAAAGCCAUUUAACCGCAACUUCUCGUUUUCGGACUAAGGUCAAAAGGGUUCCGUUUGAUUUCUGAGAUUUUUUCACAUUAGAAAAAUUACAAAACAUGUAUGAUUUGCGUCACGGAGCAGAAAAAUCAUUAAAAAUAUGGGAUUUUGGGGCCAAAAUGACCCAGUUCCCCAUUUUCCCAUAUUUUCCUAGAAAGAAGAAUAUCUCCAUUCAAAUACUAAGAUUAUUUCCUUUCAAACGAGGUACAAAUUGUAAUUUUCUGAUUGCUAGUUCAAAAGUUAUAGCAUUUAAUGUAUUUUACCUCUAUAUUUUCCCAUACUACCAAUUUCACAAAAUUUCAAGCGAAGUGGGCGGGGGUCUAAAAUUGUCCAAAUGAUGCGAAAUUUGGCAUCUGAGCUUACUUUGACAUUUGUCACAAUAUAAGAGGGGGGCCUUUGAGAAUUCAAAAAAAAAUUUUUUUUGCAAUGCCCUAACGUAGGACUAAAAUAUGUAAUGUGAAAUAUUUCCUUAUUUAAUACAUUUUGAUUAAUAAUGAAUAAAAUAUAUUUCAUUCAUACA